GUUAAAACUUAUCACAUAGGAGGGAUUACAUGUGUCCAAAAUUAGAAAGCAUGUAGUUGUGAGAGACCAAGUUUCAGAGCUGUAUGCUCACAGCUCUUGGCUACUGGGAAUUCAGGAUGUCCCUGACACGUCUAAGAUGGCACCUCAUGGCUGUGGGAACCCUGGUGCUCAGAAGCCAGCCGAGCCUAGGGUUCUCCUACUCAUUGGUUGAGGGCACCACUUUCAGAUAAAAACAUAGACCUGAAUGGCAUCACCCAGUAUCCAAGGAAACCGUUGCCUGGAUUAGAAUGACAUAAAUGUCAAGCCUAGAAAAUAACCCACUUAAAUAGUCGCUCAUUGGUGCUGCUCAGAAUGCCGUCUACACGCUGACACAAAUCAGCAA
rnacentral:lncRNA from 1 species